rnacentral:rRNA from 1 species
AGUGAACGCUGGCGGCAGGCCUAACACAUGCAAGUCGAACGGCAGCACAGUAAGAGCUUGCUCUUACGGGUGGCGAGUGGCGGACGGGUGAGGAAUACAUCGGAAUCUACUUUUUCGUGGGGGAUAACGUAGGGAAACUUACGCUAAUACCGCAUCCGACCUACGGGUGAAAGCAGGGGAUCUUCGGACCUUGCGCGAUUGAAUGAGCCGAUGUCGGAUUAGCUAGUUGGCGGGGUAAAGGCCCACCAAGGCGACGAUCCGUAGCUGGUCUGAGAGGAUGAUCAGCGACACUGGAACUGAGACACGGUCCAGACUCCUACGGGAGGCAGCAGUGGGGAAUAUUGGACAAUGGGCGCAAGCCUGAUCCAGCCAUACCGCGUGGGUGAAGAAGGCCUUCGGGUUGUAAAGCCCUUUUGUUGGGAAAGAAAAGCAGCAGGUUAAUACCCCGCUGUUCUGACGGUACCCAAAGAAUAAGCACCGGCUAACUUCGUG